rnacentral:lncRNA from 1 species
CAGGACCUGGUCCAACCCACUGCGCCACCGCGCCCCUCCCGCUAAAAAUACAAUUAAAAGCAAGUACAUUUUCUGGGAAAAAGAACCACUAUUGCUAUCGCUUUGCGUAACUUCUAACCCAAAACUGCAUUCAGCACCUCUUAGUUAGACUUUUAAUACGUUUGUAUUCGUUUUGAAAAAGAGCGCAAAAACAGUUCCCCGCAGUCAUGCGCAGUAGAGCGCAUCGCGCGGCAAAAGUUAGAAAGCUGGGGUCGCGCGCUGCUCCCUCACUGUCUGAGCGCGAGGGCACGGAGUCGCGGGAACGUGUCCCGAGCGGCCUGAAGCCAUGGAAAAUGUACGUGGGAAAGGAGCAGGCGAAGGACCUGAUGGAAGAUCCAGCAGAAAACGAACACCUGACACUGACGUCAGGAGUCCCUCGGACAGGAAGAGGACAAAGCAUGGUACUGGAAAAAUGCACAAGAAGUUGGAGAAAAGUGAGAAGCAUAGUGGUUCAACCAAGAUUAAGCACUUAAGCAUAGGAUCAAGAGGCAAGCCUCUGCAGGAACCUCAAAUUACAAGUUCAGAGGAGCUCACCUGCCGUAUGGAGGCAGAGGCUGAAAACAGCGUUGGGGUUGCUGAUCCUUAUGCCAGUCACUUGGAAGAGGAUUCAUAUACAUCUCACUCUAAGAUUUCUGUGGAUUUGAACAGCAACUUAUCAGCUUACGAUGAAUUGUACAAAAGCCGAUUUAUCAAGAAGGUAAAUGGAUCUGCUGCAGAGCAAGAACAAACAUCUUCAGAGUCAGAAAGAUGGUCUACAGAUAAAACCAUUAAAAUUAAGCACAGAGGGUCCUCAGAAAUGCUGGCGGGUGAUAAGAAGCAGCAUAGGUUUACACAGAGAAGAAAUACUGACCAUGUUAAGAAAAAACAUGGUUCAGACUCCACAGAGCAUUCACUGGACACCCAGCUCACAACUGAGAGGUAAAUCUAGAUCACUGGUUUAUAUAAACUGCAUCUGAUUAUUGGUUUUUCCAAAACUUU